GGUAGUUGGUGGAUGAUCGCUAUUUUUCUAAAGUAGAGGAAAGUCCGAACAGCUCAGAGCAAAGACAGUCACUAACGGUGACCGGGAGUAAUCCUAGGGAAAGUGCCACAGAAACAAUACCGCCCUAUUUGGGUAAGGGUGAAAAGAGUGAGGUAAGAGCUCACAAUAGGUCAUGGUGACAUGGUCUAGGGGUAAACCCUGUCUGCUGCAAGUCUAAUGGAUCCAGGUUGCUCGCCGUCUAGUUCAGGUAACUGAAUUAGGGAUAUGACGCUAAGAUAAAUGAUUAUCCAGGUACAUUAUGUACUAGACAGAAUUCGGCUUAUAGCCAACUACCCCAU
rnacentral:RNase_P_RNA from 1 species